GAUCAUAUAGCUCAGUUGGUAGAGCAUGAGACUCUUAAUCUCAGGGUUGCAGGUACGAGCCCCACAGUGGGCA